rnacentral:lncRNA from 1 species
CCAGCCAGAUUCCAAUCGAAUCUCAGUUCAAUUCAGCUAGCUCUCUUAGGUAAAAGUGUGGAUGUCAAACAAUAUGGUUAUGAAAAGUUUUUUGAGCCAUUGAUUAAUGAUAUAAGGUGUCUAGAACAAGAGGGAAUUGUUGUGGAAGUUGUGGGUCAGUUUGUUAAAGGCACUGUAUAUUGUGUAAGUGCUGAUAACCUUGGUGCACAUGGUCUGGCAGGCUUUUCUGAAAGUUUUACUGUUGACAAGUUCUGUCGCUUUUGUUUGAUAAGUAGGGACCAAAUUGCAACCACUGAAGUUAAUGACUUCCAGCUGAGGGGUGUUGAUCAACACAAUACAUUUCUGGAAGAGCUUAGGCAGACUGACAACCUCCAAAGUGUUAAUGGGGUAAAAAGGGAAUGUGUACUGGGCAAACAUCUACUGUUCUUUCACCCAAUAACCGGAUUUCCUCCAGAUGUUUUGCAUGACCUUUUUGAAGGUGUCAUCCCUUUGGAGUUGUCCUUAUGUUUGAAAAAUCUGAUCUCCAAAGGUUUCAUUACAUUUGAUGCAUUAAAUAACUUCAUAAAAUUAUUUCCCUACAAAUAUUCAGACAAAGUAAACAAGCCUCAAAAAAUUCCAAAAGCAAGCUUUGAAAAAGGAACAGUUGCUGGUAAUGGACAUGAAAAUUGGACACUGCUGCGCUUACUUCCUUUUAUAAUUGGAUGUAAGAUACCAGAACAGGAGCCAGCAUGGGAGAUUUUAAUGGACCUCAAGGAAAUUGUUGACAUUGUUGUGUCAAACAGACUCUCUGAGGAAGCAUUGUGUUAUUUAUCUUGCAAACUACUGGAUCAUUGCCUGCUGCUCACCAGUACCUUUCCGGACUUCAGACUGAGGCCAAAACACCACUUCACUGACCACUACCCACAUCUUAUACGCGGCUAUGGGCCUUUAGUGGAAUUGUGGACGAUGAGAUUUGAAGCAAAACAUAGCUUCUUUAAAAAGGUGGUCCAUGACACUCACAACGGGAAAAAUGUGCUGCUCACUCUUUCCUCGAAAAACCCGACCAUCUGGAUAGUGGGAACCUUUUCAAGCCAAAACUCUAUGUUGAAAAUGUGA